UACGUAGGGGGCAAGCGUUGUCCGGAUUUAUUGGGCGUAAAGAGCUCGUAGGCGGUUCGGUAAGUCGGAUGUGAAAUCUCCAGGCUCAACCUGGAGGGGUCAUUCGAUACUGCCGUGACUAGAGUUCGGUAGGGGAGUGUGGAAUUCCUGGUGUAGCGGUGAAAUGCGCAGAUAUCAGGAGGAACACCGGUGGCGAAGGCGGGUCUCUGGGACGGUACUGACGCUGAGGAGCGAAAGCGUGGGGAGCGAACAGG
rnacentral:rRNA from 1 species